UUUUGUCUUUUUUUGCGUGGCGUGCGAGUGCCUGUGCAACGCGCGUGUGUGCUUUGGAGCUGCAGCCUCAACUCGAGUGCACGUGUAAAGGUUCACAGGACAGGUCUGAAAGGUCAACGUCAAUCAUAUUUGGCCGUGGAUAUCACUGCAACUUUGGCACUCGACCAAGCGAGGUACAUUGGACAGAUCAACCGGACCAAAAGGCGGGGUAAAGGAAAAGGCAGCGGAAUAGGACCAAGGGUGCUCAGCCUUAUCAAAGCGCUUUGAAUAAUAAAUGUGCAAG